AGUUGAGGUCUAUUCUCAUGCUAUGCUAGGCUCAACAUGAUGGUAGACGGUACCGCUUUCGCUUUGCGUCGCUCUCCGCAUCUCAUCGUGCGUGCGGCGGCGGCGGCGGGAGAAGCAGAAGAGGUGACGAUUGGGUUGUCUGCUGCCUUGGGUUUAGCGCGUUUAAGGUUAGGCCGGAGGUUGUUCGUUGGGGCGCCUUCGAGACGGGCAACCACACAGAGGAACCAAGGAGCGCGGGCUAAGAGGGCUAGGCCUCGUUCGUUCGCACCGGCGCACGGGGCGGAACGGCGUCUAGCCCCUCAAUUCUCUUGGGGUCCGUUCUGGUCUCGCCGUCGUCAACGCCAACAACAACACCGACUGUCUCUCUACCGGCCCCCUCCCUUGUCCUCUCCCCGGCCGCGGCUCCUCGACUCCUAGCCGUCGCCGUUGCACAAGCGCCGCGAGCUCUGCGAGUUCUUCUUCUUCGGCCGCCGUCGGCUCUUCUUCGUCCGCGGCCACCACCUUUUCGGCCUCCACAAGAGCUGCGGGCGCGGCGAGUGCCGGUUCAGGACCCGGCUGCAACUCCUGCUACUGCUACUGCUGAUGAAGCGGUGGUGGCGGGGCGACACGGGGCACGCCCUCCGGGUCCCCCUGCUGCGACUACGGCCGGUGCUCCUGCUGUUCCUCGUGAGACGGGAACUUGUCCUUUAACUCUCACUUCUACUAUCGGAACUACUACUCCAACUACGACGACGACUCCUACUUGUACUUCGUCCUCUACGACAGGGAAGACUCGGCCGUCAAGUCUUUCGACAUCGAGGUGAUCAUGGAGGAUUUCUAUGGCUUUCUGUCGAGAGGUUCUUCCUCAAUUUCUUUUUCCUCAACCUUCUCGAACUACGACAUAACCGACUCAACCCUUAAAGUAUACUUAGUUCAUUACGAUGAGUUCUACUUUGUUUACUGUUCCUUCCAUACCCGGUCCGACGACUUCGUCCCUUUUUCCUUCUACGUAGGCGAGGAGACCUCUCAUUCUGGAGGUUCUUCUUCUUUCGAUUCUUUCUGUUCAGAAGUUUCCUCCGUCUUCUUUGUGACCUAGUCUUGUUACACCAGCUGUUACGACGACCACAUCUUGGACUACUUCUACAACGAAGUCACCUACAGUUCCUCGCGUAUUUCUUUCAUCGUAGUUACUUCUUUUUCUUUAGCUCGUUUCUCUACCUGCGUCAUCGUUUCUAACGUCGUAGACUCCGCCGGCGAUCCUCUCGUUUCGAACACCGUCGCUUCUUCUUUCUGUUCUUGGUGAUAUUAGUCGUCGGGGACGCCACUUAAUGACGAGUCUAAUACGUUAAGGAAUCUAUGACACGCGGAGGUGAUCCUCCUCCGGUGGGAGACCACGCGUAGAACCUUAAGAGAUAUCUACCUGAACAACACACGACUCGAGACUUAACAAGUACUGUCUUUGGGAAAACUUAUGAGGGAGGCACCACUUUAUGAACAGUCGCUUUACCGAUCUGUAUAAAAUCAAGAUCUAUGUGGGUAGAAAUAGGUAAAUACGCUGUUCAUAAAAGCCUGGCUCCCUCAUGUACCAUUUACACCCAUAAAGCAUG
rnacentral:rRNA from 1 species